UACGGGGGGGGCAAGCGUUGUUCGGAAUUACUGGGCGUAAAGGGCUCGUAGGCGGCCAACUAAGUCAGACGUGAAAUCCCUCGGCUUAACCGGGGAACUGCAUCCGAUACUGGAUGGCUUGAGAUUGGGAGAGGGAUGCGGAAUUCCAGGUGUAGUGGUGAAAUGCGUAGAUAUCGUAAGGAAGACCAGUGGCGAAGGCGAGUUUCUGGACAGUUACUGACGCUGAGGCACGAAGGCCAGGGGAGCAAACGGG
rnacentral:rRNA from 1 species